rnacentral:rRNA from 1 species
UACGUAGGGGGCAAGCGUUGUCCGGAUUUAUUGGGCGUAAAGAGCGUGUAGGCGGUUAGGUAGGUCCGCUGUGAAAACUCGAGGCUCAACCUCGAGACGUCGGCGGAAACCAUCUGGCUAGAGUCCGGAAGAGGAGAGUGGAAUUCCUGGUGUAGCGGUGAAAUGCGCAGAUAUCAGGAAGAACACCCGUGGCGAAGGCGGCUCUCUGGGACGGUACUGACGCUGAGACGCGAAAGCGUGGGGAGCGAACAGG